rnacentral:rRNA from 1 species
UACAGAGGCCUCGAGCGUUAGGCGGAAUCACUGGGCUUAAAGCGUGUGUAGGCGGACUUCUAAGUACCUUGUGAAAUCCCACGGCUUACCCGUGGAACGGCUGGGUAUACUGGUCGUCUUGAGCCAUCUAGGGGCUACCGGAACAAAUGGUGGAGCGGUGAAAUGCGUAGAUAUCGGGAAGAACACCCGUGGCGAAGGCGGCUCUCUGGGACGGUACUGACGCUGAGACGCGAAAGCGUGGGGAGCGGACAGG